GCUCAGGAUGAACGCUAGCUACAGGCUUAACACAUGCAAGUCGAGGGGUAGCAGGGUAGCAAUACCGCUGACGACCGGCGCACGGGUGAGUAACACGUAUCCAACCUUCCCAUAACUCGGGGAUAGCCUUUCGAAAGAAAGAUUAAUACCCGAUAGUACUUUAUUAAGGCAUCUUAAGAAAGUUAAAGAUUUAUUGGUUAUGGAUGGGGAUGCGUUCCAUUAGAUAGUUGGUGAGGUAACGGCUCACCAAGUCUUCGAUGGAUAGGGGUUCUGAGAGGAAGGUCCCCCACAUUGGUACUGAGACACGGACCGAACUCCUACGGGAGGCAGCAGUGAGGAAUA
rnacentral:rRNA from 1 species